GUUGAACGCUGGCGGCAUGCCUUACACAUGCAAGUCGAACGGUAACAGGUCUUCGGAUGCUGACGAGUGGCGAACGGGUGAGUAAUACAUCGGAACGUGCCUAGUAGUGGGGGAUAACUACUCGAAAGAGUGGCUAAUACCGCAUGAGAUCUACGGAUGAAAGCAGGGGAUCGCAAGACCUUGUGCUACUAGAGCGGCCGAUGGCAGAUUAGGUAGUUGGUGGGAUAAAAGCUUACCAAGCCGACGAUCUGUAGCUGGUCUGAGAGGACGAUCAGCCACACUGGGACUGAGACACGGCCCAGACUCCCACGGGAGACAGCAGUGGGGAAUUUUGGACAAUGGGCGAAAGCCUGAUCCAGCAAUGCCGCGUGCAGGAUGAAGGCCUUCGGGUUGUAAACUGCUUUUGUACGGAACGAAAAGCCCUGGGUUAAUACCCUGGGGUCAUGACGGUACCGUAAGAAUAAGCACCGGCUAACUACGUGCCAGCCGCCGCAGUAA
rnacentral:rRNA from 1 species